rnacentral:sRNA from 1 species
ACUGUACAUGUACUUAUUGCAAUGGCUAACAAAUAUUUAUCUACUGUGUUGCCGGCAUUCUCGAUCAUUUAGCUAUUGUGGUGGCUCUUGACAUUCUGGAGGAAUUUUAUCGGCUUCCAAUGAGGCCCAGGUUUCAUCACACCUUCAAAUAUUGGUACCAGUCUGAGACCGGUACAGACGUAGUCCGUUCAUAAUGCUACAGCUGAAGGCUGUGCUUGUUUAUGUUGGGGGGAUUGGAUUGGGUGAUUCGUACCCUCUAUACCACCACGGCGCUGGUGGUGAUCGAGCUCUUUUGCCCUAUUUAACACGCUCUCUUAUUUGUCAUUAGUUGUCAGCACUGUAGGUUAUGGAAGAGUUAGUGCACCGUGUGCGUUGUUUUGUGUCAAGUUCAGCGCAUGAAAUCUCAAUGGAGUCACCUUGAGGGCUUGAUGG